rnacentral:rRNA from 1 species
AGAGUUUGAUCCUGGCUCAGGACUAACGCUGGCGGCGUGCCUAACACAUGCAAGUCGAGCGGGGUAGCAAUACCCAGCGGCAGACGGGUGAGUAACGCGUGGUCAACCUUCCGUUGAAUGGGGGAUAACUAGCCGAAAGGUUAGCUAAUACCGCAUACGAUCUUUUGAAGGCAUCUUUAAAAGAUGAAAGGAGCAAUCCGUUCAACGACGGGACCGCGUCCCAUUAGCUAGAUGGUGGGGUAAUGGCCUACCAUGGCAACGAUGGGUAGCUGGUUUGAGAGAGCGACCAGCCACACUGGGACUGAGAAACGGCCCAGACUCCUACGGGAGGCAGCAGUGAGGAAUUUUCCGCAAUGGGCGAAAGCCUGACGGAGCGACGCCGCGUGUGGGAAGAAGGCCUUCGGGUCGUAAACCACUGUCGAAGGGGACGAUAAUGACGGUACCCUUGGAGGAAGCCCCGGCUAACUACGUGCCAGCCGCCGCGGUAAUAC